AUUUUCAAUGAUGACAUAGCUAUUUUACCUUGGGACACCUAUGAGAAAUCAUGAUUAGCGUAAAGUUAUGUUUAACUGAUGUAA